AUUGAACGCUGGCGGCAGGCUUAACACAUGCAAGUCGAGCGAGUGGCGGACGGGUGAGUAAUGUCUGGGAAACUGCCUGAUGGAGGGGGAUAACUACUGGAAACGGUAGCUAAUACCGCAUACCAUCGGAUGUGCCCAGAUGGGAUUAGCUAGUUGGUGGGGUAAAGGCCUACCAAGGCGACGAUCCUUAACUGGUCUGAGAGGAUGACCAGUCACACUGGAACUGAGACACGGUCCAGACUCCUACGGGAGGCAGCAGUGGGGAAUAUUGGACAAUGGGCGAAAGCCUGAUGCAGCCAUGCCGCGUGUGUGAAGAAGGGCUUCGGAUUGUAAAGCACUUUCAGUGAGGAGGCGUUACCAGCAGAAGAAGCACCGGCUAACUCCGUGCCAGCAGCCGCGGUAAUAC
rnacentral:rRNA from 1 species